CGCUGUUAGGGACGGAAUGAAUCAGAGCUUCAAAUUUGCCCCCGUCCCAUUGCCAUUCUUACAUUUUAACACAUCAUUUCCUUUACCCAAAACUACAUUUUACACUUAAAAUUUGCAGUCUCAGUUCUUUUCAUUAUUUGAAUAUUGUGUCAUCUGUAAACAUGAAACAGCCGCCUCACUUUCCCUCACAUAUUAAGCUUACUUGUUAAUCCAAUGGUGGGUGACCCACGUUUUUACGUUUUCUCUCUCUCAAAAUUCAUCAUUAAAUAUUCUUUUUUAAGUUGUUGAUUGGUUGUUCUUGUUCUAGUAUACGAGUUGCAGUUCAGGUGUUCGACUAAAAGACACAAAGAAGACAGGAAAGGAAAUGUACCUCAUAUCAUACAUGGUAACUGUUGGGUCAUGAUAUUGGGCCGACUGGAUUGGGCCUCUUUAUUUAAUUAGUCCAUUGGGUCUUCACUAUUGAUUCUUUAAGUUGUUGGGCCUAGUCAUCAUCUUAUUCCUGUUAAAUCUUUACAAUAUCGGGUCGGAUCAAUGGGUUGACCCACUAGAUCUUUUAAUAUCUCUAUCUUUGACUUGUAAUGAUGAAAAAGGAUGGUUGUUGACCAAAAAUUUGCAGAUCAUUAAUGUGGAUGGGAUUAUAGCCGGCCGGCGGUAUGCACAGUCAAG
rnacentral:lncRNA from 1 species